GGGGAUGUUUAUGGAUUCGACAGGUAUAGGUCGAGUUUUAACUGCGCUUCGAAGGUUGCGGCUUCGUAAAAACGCUCAGUUUAUUAUAACUGCAAAAAAUAAUAACAAUUCUUACGCUUUAGCUGCUUAAUAACCAGCGGGUGUAGAUCCAGCCGGGUUUGCUCACGGUUCGUUACUGGGUCCUAAAUUUUAGUGAACUUACGCUGUGAGCUUCAGUCUGUAGCAAUCAGAAGAGACUAAUCGGACUAGCUUAUCUUGAGAGCCCUGAUCAGCGGCGUUUUGAUGAGCGAAACUUUAAAUAGUUGAGAUAUGAGUGUAGACGUUGGAAUGGCGAUAUGCUUGGACAGGGGUUCGACUCCCCUCAUCUCCAUAU
rnacentral:tmRNA from 1 species